CAGCAGCCGCGGUAAUACAGAGGGUGCAAGCGUUAAUCGGAUUUACUGGGCGUAAAGGGCGCGUAGGUGGUUAUGUAAGUGAGAUGUGAAAUCCCCGGGCUCAACCUAGGAACUGCAUCUUAUACUGCGUAGCUGGAGUGCAGUAGAGGGUAGUGGAAUUUCCGGUGCAGCGGUGAAAUGCGUAGAUAUCGGAAGGAACACCAGUGGCGAAGACGGCUACCUGGACUGACACUGACACUGAGGCGCGAAAGCGUGGGGAGCAAACAGGACUAGAUACCCCCGUAGUCCCUGUCUCUUAUAC
rnacentral:rRNA from 1 species